rnacentral:rRNA from 1 species
UACGGAGGGUGCAAGCGUUAUCCGGAUUCACUGGGUUUAAAGGGUGCGUAGGUGGGCAGGUAAGUCAGUGGUGAAAUCUUUGGGCUUAACCCGAAAACUGCCAUUGAUACUAUUUGUCUUGAAUACUUUGGAGGUAAGCGGAAUAUGUCAUGUAGCGGUGAAAUGCUUAGAUAUGACAUAGAACACCAAUUGCGAAGGCAGCUUACUGGACAGUGAUUGACACUGAGGCACGAAAGCGUGGGGAUCAAACAGG